rnacentral:rRNA from 1 species
GGUCCAGACUCCUACGGGAGGCAGCAGUGGGGAAUAUUGCACAAUGGGGGGAACCCUGAUGCAGCGACGCCGCGUGGGUGAAGAAGUAUUUCGGUCUGUAAAGCUCUAUCAGCAGGGAAGAAGAAAGACGGUACCUGACUAAGAAGCCCCGGCUAACUACGUGCCAGCAGCCGCGGUAAUACGUAGGGGGCAAGCGUUAUCCGGAUUUACUGGGUGUAAAGGGGGCGCAGACGGCAGCGCAAGCCAGGAGUGAAAGCCCGGGGCCCAACCCCGGGACUGCUCUUGGAACUGCGCGGCUGGAGUGCAGGAGGGGCAGGCGGAAUUCCUGGUGUAGCGGUGAAAUGCGUAGAUAUCAGGAGGAACACCGGUGGCGAAGGCGGCCUGCUGGACAUUAACUGACGCUGAGGCGCGAAAGCGUGGGGAGCAAACAGGAUUAGAUCCCCGAGUA